rnacentral:rRNA from 1 species
GCAAGUCGAACGCUCACCUUCGGGUGGGAGUGGCAGACGGGUGAGUAACACGUGGGAACGUACCCUUUGGUUCGGGACAACUCUGGGAAACUGGAGCUAAUACCGGAUACGCCCUUUUGGGGAAAGGUUUACUGCCGAAGGAUCGGCCCGCGUCUGAUUAGCUAGUUGGUGGGGUAACGGCCUACCAAGGCGACGAUCAGUAGCUGGUCUGAGAGGAUGAUCAGCCACACUGGGACUGAGACACGGCCCAGACUCCUACGGGAGGCAGCAGUGGGGAAUAUUGGACAAUGGGCGCAAGCCUGAUCCAGCCAUGCCGCGUGAGUGAUGAAGGCCUUAGGGUUGUAAAGCUCUUUUAUCCGGGACGAUAAUGACGGUACCGGAGGAAUAAGCCCCGGCUAACUUCGUGCCAGCAGCCGCGGUAAUACGAAGGGGGCUAGCGUUGCUCGGAAUCACUGGGCGUAAAGGGCGCGUAGGCGGCGUUUUAAGUCGGGGGUGAAAGCCUGUGGCUCAACCACAGAAUGGCCUUCGAUACUGGGACGCUUGAGUCUGGUAGAGGUUGGUGGAACUGCGAGUGUAGAGGUGAAAUUCGUAGAUAUUCGCAAGAACACCGGUGGCGAAGGCGGCCAACUGGACCGGCACUGAC